rnacentral:rRNA from 1 species
GGGCCCGCACAAGCGGUGGAGCAUGUGGUUUAAUUCGAUGCAACGCGAAGAACCUUACCAGGGUUUGACAUCCUGCGAAUCUCUUGGAAACAGGAGAGUGCCUUCGGGAACGCAGUGACAGGUGGUGCAUGGCUGUCGUCAGCUCGUGUCGUGAGAUGUUGGGUUAAGUCCCGCAACGAGCGCAACCCACGUCUUUAGUUGCCAGCAUUUAGUUGGGGACUCAUAGGAGACUGCCGGUGAUAAACCGGAGGAAGGUGUGGAUGACGUCAAGUCAUCAUGCCCCUUACAUCCUGGGCUACACACGUACUACAAUGCUACGGACAAAGGGCAGCAAACUCGCGAGAGCUAGCAAAUCCCAUAAACCGUGGCUCAGUUCAGAUCGUAGGCUGCAACUCGCCUACGUGAAGGAGGAAUCGCUAGUAAUCGC